CAUAGAUCUACACUGCAGGAUUGCGAACACAUUUCAGAAAGUCCAUGAGCUUUCAGCAGUGUUCUACACACAAUGCAAAUGUCAAAGUAUGUGUAUUUCUUGAGGUAACACGUCACACUGCACUGCUAGUUUCUGAACUUGUGUAAUUACUAGCAGAGCAAAUAUAUACUUAGAAAGAAAAUAUCUUCCUGAAAUGUUGCUGCUGAUUUUGAUUGAAUUUGCCUUGCUAUACAUGCUCGCUUCUAUCGUCGACCUUGUGUAAGGGAGGUGUUCCCUGAUAAUCAAAAGCUAGCGGGACACAGGGGAGUAUCACACUGUUCUUGUGCUCAUGUUGCUGGCUGCCCAUCAGAGUCUUUCUGACAUGGCUGGUUUUGUCAAAGAAAGGGAAAUUUACUUUUGAAUGUGGCAAAGUCCUGACGUGGGGGGUAUCUCUGAAAUGCUUUCUGCCUGCAGCAGCUCUCAGGCAGUAAGUACACAAGUAUCUGCAACUGGCCUUUCCCCCUCCUUUAGUUUGACCUUUCUGCCAUCUUGGUGGGAGGUCUCAUUUUUAUGUGCAUUUUGUGUACUUAGGAAUUAAAUGUAACUUAUCUGUUUUUGGGUUUUGCAGCAUUCAUGAGAUGACUCUUUCCCACUGCACUGAAUGCUUUCCUAUUCUAUGUGAAUGAUACACACAGUGAUGGGCUGUGUAUAUUAUUUUUCACCAGAAAUACAUUUUCUGUCAUGAAAAUGACCAAUUGUAGAGAAAAAAACUUGCAGACUACUGCAAGUUAGGCAGAUUCAUGACAGACCAGUAGAAUGAAUGUGCGCAUUGAAAUGGUUUACUUUCUGUAGCUCUUCUUAUCACGUGAUGGUUAAAAUUCAGGCUGUCAGCAUUGGCACCUCGUUUCCCUGUUGGCCUUUCAAAUUCCAAGUGUCUUUGGUGAGCUGCUGAGCUGAGUGCAUUGGGGAGAGUGUGCAUGAUGCUGGUGUCAUUGUGAUCUGUGAUGACAAAAAUUGCUUCUCUACCUGCAUGCUCGGUGCUUCUAGGAGACCCGUGCCAUUUAAGGAGCGGACAUGCUGUAGUGGGCUUGCUGAAGUUGUUGACCUUGGCUCUUCAGAUAUGUGAGGUUACUGGUGUGGGGGUUAUUGCUACAAGUAGCAGCCUCCUUCAGCACCUGGGCCUAUGCUAUUUGGAGGAGGUAGAAGAGAGGAGCUGGAGCACCUGCCAUUCACAGCUAGGAGAGCCAGCAGGACAGCCUGUUUCCCUUGGGCAUUGCCAGGCAGACACUUUUUAAUGUCUGGAUGAUAUGGGCUCUGUUUGGUGCAUGAAACCAGCCUACAUCGUCCUGAGAAGAUGAAUCCUACUGCUUGCAAAUGGCUGCAAUCGAUGAUACCUGUAGGCAUUACUGAUGUCCUGCAUUAGUAGACACCAGUGUAUUAAAGGCAACAAUAGCGCUGACUGUAUGAUAGACUCGGUCAUGGUUUUAAGUCAGAGAAUGAAAAGCUGAGGUUGGUAGCUACCUGUUUCACUACUC
rnacentral:lncRNA from 1 species